GAUGAACGCUGGCGGCGUGCUUAACACAUGCAAGUCGAACGGUGAAGGCGGAGCUUGCUCUGCUGGAUCAGUGGCGAACGGGUGAGUAACACGUGAGCAAUCUGCCCCUGACUCUGGGAUAAGCGCUGGAAACGGCGUCUAAUACUGGAUACGAGCUGCGCAGGCAUCUUCAGCAGCUGGAAAGAAUUUCGGUCAGGGAUGAGCUCGCGGCCUAUCAGCUUGUUGGUGAGGUAAUGGCUCACCAAGGCGUCGACGGGUAGCCGGCCUGAGAGGGUGACCGGCCACACUGGGACUGAGACACGGCCCAGACUCCUACGGGAGGCAGCAGUGGGGAAUAUUGCACAAUGGGCGAAAGCCUGAUGCAGCAACGCCGCGUGAGGGACGACGGCCCUCGGGUUGUAAACCUCUUUUAGCAGGGAAGAAGCGAAAGUGACGGUACCUGCAGAAAAAGCGCCGGCUAACUACGUG
rnacentral:rRNA from 1 species